rnacentral:rRNA from 1 species
GACGAACGCUGGCGGCGUGCCUAAUACAUGCAAGUCGAACGCAGUGGGGACGGGUGAGUAACCCGUGGGUAACCUCCCAUCAGAGGGGAUAACACUUGGACACAGGUGCUAAAACGAUCCUGAUGGAUGGACCCGCGGUGGCUUAGCUAGUUGGUGAGGUAACGGCUCACCAAGGCCACUAUGCAUAGCGGCCCUGAGAGGGUGUUCGGCCACACUGGGACUGAGACACGGCCCAGACUCCUACGGGAGGCAGCAGUAGGGAAUCUUCGGCAAUGGACGAAAGUCUGACCGAGAAACGCCGCGUGAGUGAAGAAGGUUUUCGGAUCGUAAAGCUCUGUUGUUAGAGAAGCGGUAUCUAACCAGAAAGCCACGGCUAACUACGUGCCAGCAGCCGCGGUAAUUC